rnacentral:rRNA from 1 species
AGUGAACGCUGGCGGCGUGCCUAAUACAUGCAAGUCGAACGGAGUGGCGCACGGGUGAGUAAUAUGUAGCUAAUCUGCCCCUUGCUGGGGGGCAACAGUUAGAAAUGACUGCUAAUACUCCAUAGCAAGGGAUGAGACUAUAUCGGAUCAGCUAGUCGGUGGGGUAACGGCCUACCGAGGCUAUGACGCGUAACGGGUCUGAGAGGAUGAUCAGUCAAAUGGGAACUGAGACACGGGCGAAACUCCUACGGGAGGCAGCAGGAGGGAAGAUCGCGCAAGGGGGGAAACCCUGACGCAGCAUCGACGCGUGGAGGAUGACACGUGUCGGAGCGUAAACUCAUUUUGUUAGGGAAGCGGUACCUAACGAAUAAGCACCGGCUAACUCCGUGCCAGCAGCCGCGGUAAUUC